rnacentral:pre_miRNA from 1 species
UGCCGAAGUUUUCCUUGGUAGUUAACUGCCGUUGGUUCUUUUCCUUGGUAGUUAACUGCCGCUGGGGCAU